rnacentral:rRNA from 1 species
CGAGUAGGCGGCCUUUUAAGUCUGUGGUGAAAUCUCCCGGCUCAACUGGGAGGGUGUCAUAGAUACUGGAGGGCUUGAGGGCAGCAGAGGGAGGUGGAAUUUCCGGUGUAGUGGUGACAUGCGUAGAUAUCGGAAGGAACACCAGUGGCGAAGGCGGCCUCCUGGGCUGCACCUGACGCUGAGGCGCGAAAGCGUGGGGAGCAAACAGGAUUAGAUACCCUGGUAGUCC